CCUACGGGAGGCAGCAGUGGGGAAUCUUGCGCAAUGGGCGAAAGCCUGACGCAGCAACGCCGCGUGCGGGAAGAAGGCUUUCGGGCUGUAAACCGCUUUCAGCAGGAACGAAAAUGACGGUACCUGCAGAAGAAGGAGCGGCCAACUAUGUGCCAGCAGCCGCGGUGAUACAUAGGCUUCAAGCGUUGUCCGGAUUUAUUGGGCGUAAAGAGUUCGUAGGCGGUCGAGUAAGUCGGGUGUGAAAAUUCUGGGCUCAACCCAGAGACGCCACCCGAUACUGCUUGACUUGAGUUCGAUAGGGGAGUGGGGAAUUCCUAGUGUAGCGGUGAAAUGCGCAGAUAUUAGGAGGAACACCGGUGGCGAAGGCGCCACUCUGGAUCGAUACUGACGCUGAGGAACGAAAGCAUGGGUAGCAAACAGGAUUAGAUACCCUGGUAGUCCAUGCCGUAAACGGUGGGCACUAGGUGUGGGUUUCUAUUAACGAAAUCCGCGCCGUCGCUAACGCAUUAAGUGCCCCGCCUGGGGAGUACGGUCGCAAGACUAAAACUCAAAGGAAUUGACGGCNGAGACGNGCGACGACGACGACGAGGAGAGG
rnacentral:rRNA from 1 species